GAUACGUUUAGGCUGCCUUGCGAUGCGCGUCGAACGGCCCCGCGGGAGCAAUCCUGGCGGCGAGUGGCGAACGGGUGAGUAAUACAUCGGAACGUGCCCAAUCGUGGGGGAUAACGCAGCGAAAGCUGUGCUAAUACCGCAUACGAUCUACGGAUGAAAGCAGGGGAUCGCAAGACCUUGCGCGAAUGGAGCGGCCGAUGGCAGAUUAGGUAGUUGGUGAGGUAAAGGCUCACCAAGCCUUCGAUCUGUAGCUGGUCUGAGAGGACGACCAGCCACACUGGGACUGAGACACGGCCCAGACUCCUACGGGAGGCAGCAGUGGGGAAUUUUGGACAAUGGGCGCAAGCCUGAUCCAGCCAUGCCGCGUGCAGGAUGAAGGCCUUCGGGUUGUAAACUGCUUUUGUACGGAACGAAACGGCUCUUUCUAAUAAAGAGGGCUAAUGACGGUACCGUAAGAAUAAGCACCGGCUAACUACGUGCCAGCAGCCGCGGUAAUACGUAGGGUGCGAGCGUUAAUCGGAAUUACUGGGCGUAAAGCGUGCGCAGGCGGUGAUGUAAGACAGUUGUGAAAUCCCCGGGCUCAACCUGGGAACUGCAUCUGUGACUGCAUCGCUGGAGUGCGGCAGAGGGGGAUGGAAUUCCGCGUGUAG
rnacentral:rRNA from 1 species